UCGAAGAAGCUCAAUGAACAGAAGUCAGGGUAUCGUAUGUAUAUUGUAAAUUUUAUGGGAACAAGAUAUUCGAUCGAGACCAAUACUCUUACGUGCAAUUAUUCAUACUGUUGUUGCUACUACAAACAAGUCUAGUAAUCCGAUGGAUGUUUCUUUUCAAUCUCAGCCGGUUUCUUUCCCUUUUCAAGAAAUACGAGGGUAAAAAAGAGAGACAAAAGGGUAUGCACGGACGGAAGGAAGAAGAUAAAGAUUGAGAGGCAGACUGGCCGGAGGAAGAAAAUUGGUAGAGGCAGGCUCGUGUACGUUCCAGAAAACUGGCCGCCAUGUCGGCCUCCACCACCCCCACUACAUACCUAUAUGCAGCCAGCAGCACGAGAUAUCGUCCAUUGCACUUUUCAAGCUUUCAUGUGAACGCACUAUACAUAUAUACGCAUGUGCUUCUGCCUAUGUGGAUAGGCGGCAAGCUCACACGUAUCCAGCGGUAGCUCCCCGUAAGAGGAGAGACUGGUCCGCUCAGUGCACAGAAAAAUAAAAUCGUCCAGUGACAUUUUACUGUUACAUCAGUCCAACGUAAAAUACAUAUUACGAAUGUUAGAAAAUCUACACAUUUGUUAGUAAUAGCGGGGAAUUAAUCCCCAAGGUAUAAGUAUUCUUCGUCAUUAUGCAAUCUAAGUAUAAGGAUGGAACAGAAUAUAAUGCUUGACUUAUCUCUCUUAUAGGAAAUUAAAAUGAUUGAAAUAGAGGUAAUAGAGGUACUUAGAAAAGGACUGACAUAGUAACACAUCCUAGUUUAUCAAUAUUUAAUAUUUUUACUACUGGUAAAGCUCAAAGAUGAUAACUUAUAGUCUUGUACAAUCACUCAAUACUGGACCUUUCAAAAGCGAUUCUCCGAUUCUCCUUGAAAGAGUAACACAUAUGUCGCUCGUCACAGGGAGAUAUAAAGGGAAAAAUCAUCAGUAAAAAUUAAACAGAAUCAGAAGGAUGUCGCAGGUGGUAUUUUCGCUGCACGCUGGCUGAUUUUCUAAGUCGACCUUAGGCGGGAUAAAAGGGGGAGGGGGCUGUCUCCCACUCAAUUGCAACGAGCUGGCAACGCUAUUGGCAAGUGGCAACGCUGGUCGACUGCACGAAGGAGGGGUAAGAGUGAAACUAUAGUAAUGUGGAGUGGGGUCGAUGGUCCCCCACUGGUUACGCCACUGGCACUGAAUUUCGCACGGUCUAAACGGAGAGUUGACUGAGAGGAACAGAGACGGAACACGACAGACCACCGACUGCAAGAGGGUGAGAGGGCAAAGACCAGACGGAGAAAGAAAAAGGGAGAGAAAUAGAGAGAAGAGGCAGCCAUGUGCGUCUCCGAGCAGCCUCGAAGCUCUCUGCAACUAUACGAACGUUCGGCUUCGUUCCCGUUCUCCUUCGCGCCGAAUUCGUGCUAGCGUAGAUAUGAAAUCUGGAAAGGUUCGUCACUGGAGUAUGUUGCAUCACACAAGGACCAGUGAAAUUCUCAGUGCAUCAAAUAAGCGGCAUCCUUUCCUCUCCGCUCCUCGAGCUCCCAAUGAAAAAGAUGAUGCGAGGGCCGACGCGUGUGGAACACGAAGUGCAGCCGGGACCGUGGUUGAUCGUUGUCGGGGAGCAAAGGUGCAAGCUUGAUAGUCCGCCGUUCCGUUCGUUCCGCCGUUCCUCCCGUCCGGGUUCCACCGUCCAUGUCUCGGUUCGUUCGCUGGUUCAGCUGGCGUCCCACGGCACGCAGUCUGUCGCUGUCACCGACGAAGCUCGUUUCUCGUAUAGCCGUAUGCCCGAACAACCAGUACGUGUUCCUUCAUCCGACGUUUUCCGUCGUUUCUUUAUUUUUAAAUAUGUCUAUGUAGAAUUUCUUUGUGCUAUUUCGAGUCGCUUUUGUAUUAAUCUCCUGAAAAAAGGACGGUGUUUCGACGAGUGAAUUUCAGUCCCCUCCCGCGGUUAUUUAACAUGGUUACGUAUUUUCAGAGACACUUCCGGUAGAGGAAACUCGAUUAUCGGAUACCAACUGUCAAAGUUCUUCGAGAGUUUCAAUCAUUUUCUAGGGGAAUUCUAGUUUUUUGAGAUUAUUCUAAAAGUAUGGUGAAUUUAAGCUCGAGAAUAUUCUUGGAUACGAUUUUCCCUGAAACCGGUCGCGCGAAUCGCGAUUGUGACCGUGACUGGAAGGUGACAUGGUAUCUUCCGAUGAGUGACGCGGGUGUCCAGUAAAGUGGCAAGUGUUUUCUUCUCUCUCCUUGGAUCUGGAGACGCCGGUUUUUCCCCGGUUAAUUGUGCUGUGUGACGGGUGUGUGCGUGCAGUGUGUCCACACAGUGUAUGGUCGACGUGGUGAAGAUUCAGGCGAGUCCUUAUGUAGCUCUGGAAUAUCUGGUGUAAUCGAUGAGGAUAAUUGUAGGAGAUGUGCUGCAGGCAGAAUCUAUUAUUUCAUGGGAGGAGACCAAGGAUGAGCCGAUUGCCGAGGAAUCAAGAGAGGAGUGCAGCUUUUCGUGUAGCGUACAUAAUUCCCGCUCGACUACUCCUGCAUCCAGGUCCUUCGCCGUCUUCCAAACCUUAAGAUCCGUUCACAACGAACAAUCUCAACUUCCCUAUGUUUCCUUCCCCCAAGGAAACUUGGAACUUCGAGAUUUACAAUUCAAAUCCAUGGUGAAUUUGUCUUUAAAUGAGAUCCAAGGUCCAGGUUGUAAAACGUAAUCAGUCAGUUGGAAACGAUGCCUAACAUCCCUUAGGGCCGCGUGAGGAGAUGGCAGAGGCCAUUCAACUGUCUACGAGGCAGCAGGCAGGGGAUUUUUACAACGCCCGGACUCUCUACCUACUCUCCUAUAUUCUUCUUGCUCUUCUUUCCUCUCUCCAUCUUCUUCGUCCUCUUCUUCGUCUUGUUUCUUGUAGGAUAGCCCCGGCCCUCUUUUUCUAUGCUCUCCUGAUCUCUCUACCCGGCAAUGGCGCAGUAAACCGGGGGCCUACGCGUGAGAAGUUUGAUUCUAAAACUCGAAUUAUAUCGAAUUUCACAGAAAAAAUAAUGCCUCUAAAUAACAACUGUAGAAUAUGCUUGUCGAUCGAUAGAUUUAUUAAUGUUCAACGAGUUUGACAAUUAUUGAUAUUCCUUUACACUUGACGAAAAUCAUGAUUAAGUCCUUAAGGAAGCAGCGAUUUCAGCUGUUAAUUCGUCAACUUAAAUGAAUCUCUUAGUUUCGUUAACGUGUUGUUCUUAUUAUUCUACUUGGCAAACUAUGCUUAUAAAAGAAAAAUCGAAGAAACAAGAAUAUAGUAUUUUUAUUUGUUAUGAUCAAAUGCUAUUUUGUUAAUUUCCAGAUGCAGUUGCAGUAUUCCUCCACGGACAGUAGGAAGCAGUGAAAGGAAGCUGGGAGCACAUGGCGAAACGAUCCAGUGAUAGCCGUUAUCAGCUAUACUUGAUGAUACUAACCCGUAGAUCCGAACUUGUGGGCUUUUUUAUAUGUAUACCGCAAGCUCCUAUCUACCGGUACAUGUAGUCAGGCCAGCAUUUAAGCUUUUCGACGGAACCUCCUCCUUCUCCUUCACACACCCCUCUGCCCUCCUGAAAGCCCGCAGCACUUCCGGUUAUCAACGCGUGCAUUUUUUGCCAAGUAAUUUUCUCGAUUGUAUGAAAAGAAGUGAAAAAGGACGAGUAUGACGAAUGAAAGUAGGGAUGAAAAGAGCAGUAUCUACCGUUCUGUCACUUCCGGUUUACUGACAAAUUAAUUACGAAUAGUAAUGUAACGAUCGAAGCGUCGUAAGUCU